rnacentral:rRNA from 1 species
GACCUCAAAUCAGUAGGACUACCCGCUGAACUUAA